AUGAAAGUAACACUGGAACCCAUGUUUAGUUAGAACCAGUCAUUUUCUUAACAAGUAUGUUGGUCAAACUGAUGAUGUUCCGACGUUAAUCAUGUUGUUCGCCGUGGAUUUCGUAUGUGUAUACGUUGGAAUAUUCUGAUUCAGAGGAUGAAAAGGAUUUUGGUGAAGAAAUUCCAGACAGAAAUGCGAAGGUUGUAACAGUAAAAGUAAAUUCCCUUUGUACUGACCUCAUCAUCAAAUCAGGACCUUCUGUGGCACGGAACAGACUGGGAAAGUGCGUGGUCAGGUCCAUAAAAAUCUGAGUACAGCCAAAGAAGAGAAUUCAAUUUGGAAGUUGGCCCUCAGAUUCUAUGCAAGCAGAUUUUAAUGACAAGAAAUCUGUUGACGAGGACACCAAGUACGCAGAAGUGCUGCUUGUGUCUGACAAAAACUUUUUCCAGGCCUUUCUUUCAGGCUUCUGAUAUUAUCUAUGAUGAGAAUAUAGGACACCCAGUAGAUUUAAUGUUAUGUUGAGCUGCGUAUCUGGAGAUAGUAAAGGAUGAGGUUCUUGCUGUGGGUCAGAUGUUGUGCCGUGUAGUCUGGUAGAAGUUGACAUACUUUUCAUAGGAGCUUAAUGCCACCAUCGUGAGGGUAAACACAGCGUGGUGUAACAUCCAAGAAAAUCUCUACAUCCCACAUUGAUGUUCUUGAAUUAAGAUCUGAGGUAUGUAGUCUUUAUUCGGUUAACUCAGGAUAGGGUUCAGUAUUGGUCUGUUGUCAGCAUAUCAGAGUUCAAUAAAAGGUAACAAAUUCUGUGAUGGACUGAGCUGGAGAGCUCUGCUCCAUGAAGUUUGUGUUGAUUCAAAUGAAUAAAGACACAGAUAUACUAAUCGUAUGGUUAUAUUAUCGCGCGUCGUAGCCGCGCGGUCUGAGGCAUCAUGCUUCGGACGGAAUGCGCGCUGGUUCGAGUCUCGGGGGAGAAUAAAUUUUCUCGUGAGCUUUC